UACGUAGGGGGCAAGCGUUGUCCGGAAUCAUUGGGCGUAAAGAGCGUGUAGGCGGCCAGAUAAGUCCGCUGUGAAAUCUCGAGGCUCAACUUCGAGCUGUCGGUGGAAACUGUCUGGCUAGAGUCCGGAAGAGGAGAAUGGAAUUCCUGGUGUAGCGGCGAAAUGCGCAGAUAUCAGGAAGAACACCCGUGGCGAAGGCGGUUCUCUGGGACGGUACUGACGCUGAGACGCGAAAGCUAGGGCAGCAAACGGG
rnacentral:rRNA from 1 species